ACCGUUCUUUUCUGUUGCUUGAAAUAUUUCUGUGGAGAACUGCUGCUCUUACUGUAGUUCAUUGAUUUUAUAGAGUGCCAAGGCAGGAGGGGUGUCUGCAUCUGCUUUAUGACCUUCUGCAAAUCACAACCCAUAAAGAUGAUCCUGUUUCCCUCCAAGAAGAUUGGAUGCAUGACCUGAUACUUCAACUUCUCAAGAAUAGAAUGAUGUGUGACAAUGUGAAAGCCAGGGAGACCAGAUGGUACCAGUGCCCAACGGCACCUACAGUUGCAGGGUUUCACUAUGUCCAGAGAUCCUGCAGACAAUCAAUGAGCCACAUUGAAGGAGCUAAUUUUGUCAAUUUGAUCUAGGGAAAAAUGUGACAGUAGAACCACUGGCAACAGUUUGUAUGUAAGGACAGGUGCUGUGCAUUACCUCAGAGAGCUGGACAACUCAAGGUCUUUCCCUAACAGCAAAGAGCAAAAAAUAAUUACAUCAUGACACAGUUUGGAUAAUAGUUUGAGUGAAUCAGAAGCCAUGAUGUAACUGUGUGUUGGUGAAAUGCUUAACGUACCAGAAGCUAAGGAAACAUGGACAUGGGACUUUCUAUGUGAUUAUGCUGUCUUGGCAAUGGUUGUGUUGUGGAGAUUGACACUUCCCAACAUGGAAAUGAAACAAGCAAGCCAGAUUUUUUUAAGAAAAAUGACUGCAUUUCUGGCUGAAGAUCUGUCAUACCUUUUCCCAGAGAUGAUAAGUCUGUGCUUUGUAAGCCAUGGAUGUCACUCUGCCUCCUAUCCUCCAUUAGUGACCUCCUGAACAUGUCAAUGUUCCUUAUUUCCAUGGAACUACAACAGAUACAAACAGCUUAAUAACACUAUUUGAUGGAGCAAAAUAUCAACUACAAAAUGCUAUUUUUUCAACAUAGUCACUCUGUACAAGGUUCCCCAGUCAUAAUUCACCUGUACUCAUGUGGAUGAGCUGAUCAAGACAAUCUUCAUUAUGUAGUCUGACAGCAUUACCUGACCAUCCAGAACAGACCUUGUCUUUCACAUCACCAUUGCCACUGCUGAAACGUAUCAUCCGCAGUCUCACUGUGCUUACAUUCACUCUUCAGUCUCCAUAAACAUUCAGCAAGCAUCAAUGAAUGUCAGUAGGUGCAACUUUAUUCCACGCGGGUGCUACUUUGUUCCACACUGGGGAAUUCAGUGAUACACCUUUGCUUCACAUGCACUUCCAUGUCAGAUGUCAUUUUGUCAGCUGCUUCUCUGCUGCUGUCUGUCACACAUCAACAAAAUGUAAUGGAGUACUGAUGGAAAAGUUCAACCUCUACUGCCAUCCCAUGACAUCUGCCUCUGACAUCAUGGACCAACAUUAUAAAAAUAGGAGGCAUUACUUUUGGAGCACCCCUGUACUUAGGAUGCGAAAGUGGAUCAUCAAGAAGCCAGCAGAUGGGGGAAGGCUUCCUCUGCAAUGCAAGAUUCUGGUCUUUCCAGCAGGAAAACACAAGCAAACAACUUCCUACUCAGUCCCCAUGGUGAAGCAGGAACGUGGCUCUUCCGUCAAGAUUCUGAAUUUCUC
ensembl:lncRNA